UACGAAGGGAGCGAGCGUUGUUCGGAAUCACUGGGCUUAAAGCGUGCGUAGGUGGAUUGGUAAGUAAGGAGUGAAAUCCCAGGGCUUAACCCUGGAACUGCUCUUUAGACUGCCUGUCUGGAAUUCGGAAGAGGUUGGUGGAACUCCCAGUGUAGAGGUGAAAUUCGCAGAUAUUGGGAAGAACACCGGUGGCGAAGGCGACCAACUGGUCCGAUAUUGACACUGAGGCACGAAAGCGUGGGUAGCAAACAGG
rnacentral:rRNA from 1 species